rnacentral:rRNA from 1 species
UACGUAGGGUGCAAGCGUUAAUCGGAAUUACUGGGCGUAAAGCGUGCGCAGGCGGUUGUGCAAGACCGAUGUGAAAUCCCCGGGCUCAACCUGGGAAUUGCAUUUGUGACUGCACGGCUAGAGUGUGUCAGAGGGGGGUAGAAUUCCACGUGUAGCAGUGAAAUGCGUAGAGAUGUGGAGGAAUACCGAUGGCGAAGGCAGCCCCCUAGGAUAACACUGACGCUCAUGCACGAAAGCGUGGGGAGCAAACAGG